rnacentral:rRNA from 1 species
UACGGAGGGUGCGAGCGUUAAUCGGAAUUACUGGGCGUAAAGCGCGCGUAGGCGGCGUGAUAAGCCGGUUGUGAAAGCCCCGGGCUCAACCUGGGAACGGCAUCCGGAACUGUCAUGCUAGAGUGCAGGAGAGGAAGGUAGAAUUCCCGGUGUAGCGGUGAAAUGCGUAGAGAUCGGGAGGAAUACCAGUGGCGAAGGCGGCCUUCUGGACUGACACUGACGCUGAGGUGCGAAAGCGUGGGUAGCAAACAGG